AGUCUGAACGUUUAGCGAGUGCUGCCUCUAAAGAGAGCAAUCACUACACUUACGGCUGAGACUUUGCGCUUAGUAGUUCAGAGGCCCCCAGGCAGACUACAGACCGUGACAAAAGGUGUAGAGUCUCAUUUGUACAGAUUGGAUUCGUCACAAAUUCACCAGAUCAAAAAUUCCAGAUAAAGUGUUUCACGCCUCACCUGAAGAUCAUGAAAAAUAUGGUGGGGAUCCACAGAACCCUCAUAAACUGCAUAUUGUUACCAGAAUAAAAAGUACAAAAUACGUCCAUAUUGGGAAAAAGAUAUAAUAAAGAAGCUUGGAUUGGAAAAAUCACAUAUCCCUCAAGUUCACCAGAAUUCCCUUCAGUGAAUGCAAAAUUGAAAGUGGUUAAGCAUUUGAUAAGAAUUGAAGUUGCCACAAGGACUUCCAACAGAGGAGAACAUGUCUAACACAUGCCUCAAAAGCACUGGGGAGUUAGUAGUGCAGUGGCAUCUGAAACCUGUGGAGUAGAAAGCACAUGAGUCCUAGUGCCCUAGCAGCUUCCGAUUGGAAAAUGCAAAUUGUUUUUAUUUAAAGAUGGUGAGAAAGUGUUUUCAUUAAAAUAUGUUUUAAAAACCAUUUUCAGGCUGGGUGCGAUGGCUCACCUGUGGUCCCAGCACUUUGGGAGGCCAAGGCGGGCGGGAUCACCUGAGGUCAGAAGUUCGAGACCAGCCUGACCAACAUGGAGAAACCCCUGUCUCUACUGAAAAUACAAAAUUGGCCGGGCAUGGUGGCACAUGCCUGUGGUCCCGGCUGCUCGGGAGGCUGAGGCAGGAGGAUCGCUUGAGCCCGGGAGGCGGAGGUUGCCUUGAGCUGAGAUGGUGCCACUGCACUCCAGCCUGGGCAACAGGACGAGACUCCGUCUCAGGGGAAAAAAAAAUUUUCACUGACUAAACCUGCUGCAGUUCUUUUUUACUACAGACUUGGAGAUUUUAGUUUAAUUUGGUUUAAUUCUCUGUCCUUUCCCUUUCACUGUUUCACUCCAAAACGGGUAAGAAUGGCAUUGUUUGAACAUCUACGUUUGGGUCUACUGCCACCUUAGCAAGCCUCAUUAACUGUUUUAUAAAAAUUGCGUUAUUGUUGUUGUUGUUUUUGAGAUGGGGUCUUGCUCUGUUGCCCAAGCUGGAGUGCAGUGGCAUGAUUUCAGUUCACUGCAGCCUCAACCUCCUGGGCUCAAGUGAUCCUCUUGCCUCGGCCUCCAGAGUAGCUGGGAGUGCAGGCAGUGUGCCACCACACCCAGCUAAUUUUUGAAAGUUUUUUCAUAAAGACGGGGACUCACUAUGUUGUCCAAGCUGGUCUCUAACUCCUGGGUUCAGGCCGUCCUCCCGCCUCGGCCUCCCAAAAUGCCGGGAUUACAGGCA
rnacentral:lncRNA from 1 species